UGCUGGAGCGAUUUGUCUGUUUAUUUGUCUGGCUAGUUCCGUUAACGAACGAGACCUUAACAACUUGUUUAAAAAGUUACCUGUGCCUUCGGUUACAUGGGCACUUGCUCAGUACUCUGCGUGUUUAUGGCAAGAAAGCUUGAGUCAGCAACAGGUCAGUGAUGCCCUGAAAUGUGCUCGGUGCAUUGCGUGUUUGAGGCAAGAUAGCUUGAGGCAACAA
rnacentral:rRNA from 1 species